UACGUAGGUGGCAAGCGUUGUCCGGAUUACUGGGCGUAAAGAGCGCGCAGGCGGUCGUCCAAGUCGCGUGUGAAAGCCCCGGCUCCAACUGGGGAGGGUCACGCGAUACUGGUCGACUCGAAGGCAGGAGAGGGUAGUGGAAUUCCCGGUGUAGUGGUGAAAUGCGUAGAUAUCGGGAGGAACACCAGUGGCGAAGGCGGCAUCCUGGACCAACAUGACACUGAGGAGCGAAAGCCAGGGAGCAAACGGG
rnacentral:rRNA from 1 species